ACCACUAAACUUUCAGUUCAUUUUGUGCGCGAUCCGACUCGGUCCUAUCCUUGAUUUGGUCCUCUCCUAUUUCCAAACCAUACCGAAUAAUAAUUAUUGUGAAUCAAUCAUCAAAAAUGGACACAUACACGUUUCUUUGUCUAUCGUUUUCGUGGCUACUGUUUGUAGUUAGCGUGCAUUAUGUAACGUUCGAGCAUUUAACUGAAGUUGGAAGACAUACGAUUGCUACCGUGGGUUUGGGCAUGCUCGCGUUGGGCACUGGACUUUACGUCAUUCAUGAGAGCCAGAGGCGCUUAGCUGAAGAACGGGCUCGCGAACGCGCUCGUGAACACGCUCGUGACGAACACGCUCGUGACGAACAAGCGCCCGCCGAGCACGCGCGAACUAAAGAAGAAUAAAAUAUGAAAAUGAAAAUAUUGCUGUUGGGACUGCACUGGUCCGACCUGUUCGUCUACAAAACACCUGGUGGAGGAGGCCUGCCGGCGGUCGCUGGAGGCCCUCUGACUGGACUAUAUCGACCUGAUACACAACCCUACGUCUUUCAAGAAAUGGGCGAAACCACGCGAAACCCACAGCAGUAUUUUUUUUAACUUUUUGACAAGGUCGUUUGGCCAUGUUUUAAUCAAUUUAUGUAGGUACCUAUUGUA